rnacentral:rRNA from 1 species
AACGAACGCUGGCGGCAUGCCUAACACAUGCAAGUCGAACGAGACCUUCGGGUCUAGUGGCGCACGGGUGCGUAACGCGUGGGAACCUGCCCUUAGGUUCGGAAUAACUCCCCGAAAGGGGUGCUAAUACCGGAUCAUGUCUUCGGACCAAAGGUUUAUCGCCUUUGGAUGGGCCCGAGUUGGAUUAGCUAGUUGGUAGGGUAAAAGCCUACCAAGGCGACGAUCCAUAGCUGGUUUGAGAGGAUGAUCAGCCACACUGGGACUGAGACACGGCCCAGACUCCUACGGGAGGCAGCAGUGGGGAAUAUUGGACAAUGGGCGAAAGCCUGAUCCAGCAAUGCCGCGUGAGUGAUGAAGGCCUUAGGGUUGUAAAGCUCUUUUACCCGGGAUGAUAAUGACAGUACCGGGAGAAUAAGCUCCGGCUAACUCCGUG